rnacentral:tRNA from 7 species
GGGCCUAUAGCUCAGUUGGUUAGAGCGCUCGACUCAUAAUCGAUCGGUCGCAGGUUCAAGUCCUGCUGGGCCCACCA